AAGGGGCUUGAAUUUUUGAGCUCUCCCUGUAGAUUUUGCAGUGAUGUAGUGUCCCCAUGAGUGACAGAACACUGAGCCAAUCACGGUGCAACUAAAGAACAUUACCAACCUCUACGCUCCAUAUUUUCCGUUGGCUGCUCCACCACCACAGAAAGCACUGAGCUAGGCUGAAACACCUGCAUUUUGAAGCUGCCUUACUCAAGAAAGCAAAAAGAGACCAUGUCUGUAUGCAGCUUUAUUUUUUUUUACAUUGUUUGCAAACUGAUUUGUGACCCGUAUUAUGCCAAAAUAACACGCAACCCCCCCCAAAAUAUAUAUAUAUAAAUCAACUAAACAGCUGGGGCUCGCCGCUGUCUGUCAGGGAGACCAGGGAAUCCAUAAAUACAAAGUCAUGCAGCAAUAUCUCUUUAAAUGGGCAUGUGUUGAAUUGACUGACACAUGCCUAUUUUAUAUCUUUGACUUGCGUGGAAUUUAUAUUCAGCUUGGUAACAUUAGGACAUGUCAGAUGAAGAGCAGGAUAAUCAAACAGAUUAGCGCAACAUUGUCGAAAACACUUUUAAAUCUGCUGGAUGUGCAAAAAACAAAACAAUUGACCUGUUCACACAUUAGGCAGCCGAUAUAUGAUCUGAAAGCUUGUCAGACAUCAAACUGCAGGAUGUGGUAUGGUACGUCGCUGUUAGUAUCACUGAGUCACAUAGAAAGAGUCUUUCUGUUAACAUAGACAAUUCCCAUAACAAUCGGAAGUGGAGACACAAAAGAAGAGAAAAACAGACAUUUUGUGAGAAAGAGCUCAUGAGAACAGUAGCCUACAAAUGCACAGAAUUGCACACUAUUUAAUUGCACUGAUGUUUCUGUAAGAUGCAAUGAACAGAAAUGCACAACUACCAACUUGGCAAAUAAACGCAAAUAAUGGAUUGCUCAGACAGACGUCUGAAAAUAUAUCUGAAAUCUAGCCAAAAAUAGUAUUUCAAGAACAUUCCAUUUGUGAGAACAGACAGUAGACCUAACUACGUAGACACUCUAAAGGUAAAUUAUUACCGCAAUUGCAGAAUAACUUCUUCCAUUCCCUUCAAUGUUACAGUAUCCCUUUAAAGUCGACAUGGCCCGGAGAGCUGCUGGGGUGGAUGAACUGUGGGUCAGCAGUAGGCCUGUGCUGUGGACACACAUGCUGGUGGUGGUGAUGGUGGUGUCUUCUAUUGUCCCUGGCUGUGGCAAAUAUAAGAGAAACAUUGGCUUACCCGUGUGCAUCGCCACAUCAGAGCUCCAAUGAAGAGGAAGAAGAUGACGAUGAAGGCCGUCCAACUCAGCACAAUCAAGAUGAGUUCCAUGAUGGUCUGACCGCCGCCACAGCCCUUCUCUGGAUCUCUCUCUGUAUGGAGGGGAGAGGGAAUUAGAAGAAGUGGUUCAGCUUCAUGUCUUCUUGAAAAACUCUGGGCCUUAUUGCCCUUUGACUCUGACCCAGAGUUUUUCCUGGGCUGGUCAACUGCUCAGGGAAAACUCAUUCAAAAGAAAUUCAAAGGAAUAUGGUGAGUCCGUAUUGCACAUAUUGGAACACAAUACCUAACAUCUUGUGCACUAAUCAUGAUCAUAGCUAGUACUAGCCACAUUAAAACCACUUACAUCAGUUGUGGUAUGUCGUUGAAAUUGCAGAGAUCGAUAUUUUCACACCGCAUCAUAAAAAAGUGUGUAACAGACAGUUCUAGAAUAAUGAUUGGAUACCAAUUCUUUGUUAAUCCAGGAAGAGGAAGACAAUCUGAAUGAAAAAUGGAAUUCACUCUAACCCUGAUGAAUAACAUUUCUUCUUCUUUAAUAAAAAAAAAAAUAUUUGUACCUCUGA